GAUGAACGCUGGCGGCGUGCCUAAUACAUGCAAGUCGAGCGAACAGACGAGGAGCUUGCUCCUCUGACGUUAGCGGCGGACGGGUGAGUAACACGUGGAUAACCUACCUAUAAGACUGGGAUAACUUCGGGAAACCGGAGCUAAUACCGGAUAAUAUAUUGAACCGCAUGGUUCAAUAGUGAAAGACGGUUUUGCUGUCACUUAUAGAUGGAUCCGCGCCGCAUUAGCUAGUUGGUAAGGUAACGGCUUACCAAGGCGACGAUGCGUAGCCGACCUGAGAGAGUGAUCGGCCACACUGGAACUGAGACACGGUCCAGACUCCUACGAGAGGCAGCAGUAGGGAAUCUUCCGCAAUGGGCGAAAGCCUGACGGAGCAACGCCGCGUGAGUGAUGAAGGUCUUCGGAUCGUAAAACUCUGUUAUUAGGGAAGAACAAAUGUGUAAGUAACUAUGCACGUCUUGACGGUACCUAAUCAGAAAGCCACGGCUAACUACGUG
rnacentral:rRNA from 1 species